rnacentral:rRNA from 1 species
UUUAUUGGAGAGUUUGAUCCUGGCUCAGGAUGAACGCUGGCGGCGUGCCUAAUACAUGCAAGUCGAGCGAACGGAUUAAGAGCUUGCUCUUAUGAAGUUAGCGGCGGACGGGUGAGUAACACGUGGGUAACCUGCCCAUAAGACUGGGAUAACUCCGGGAAACCGGGGCUAAUACCGGAUAACAUUUUGAACCGCAUGGUUCGAAAUUGAAAGGCGGCUUCGGCUGUCACUUAUGGAUGGACCCGCGUCGCAUUAGCUAGUUGGUGAGGUAACGGCUCACCAAGGCAACGAUGCGUAGCCGACCUGAGAGGGUGAUCGGCCACACUGGGACUGAGACACGGCCCAGACUCCUACGGGAGGCAGCAGUAGGGAAUCUUCCGCAAUGGACGAAAGUCUGACGGAGCAACGCCGCGUGAGUGAUGAAGGCUUUCGGGUCGUAAAACUCUGUUGUUAGGGAAGAACAAGUGCUAGUUGAAUAAGCUGGCACCUUGACGGUACCUAACCAGAAAGCCACGGCUAACUACGUGCCAGCAGCCGCGGUAAUACGUAGGUGGCAAGCGUUAUCCGGAAUUAUUGGGCGUAAAGCGCGCGCA